ACACGGAAACACACCAUGAGCUCGUAUGAACCUUUACACACGUCAGUCGGUAUCAGUGUUAUCAGCCUUGGUUGUUUUGUUUUUUUUUUUUGCGCGCAGGAGCCCGGCAGGAAGUGGCGCCCCCCCUGCGGCCGCUGCGUGCGCAUGUGAUGCCCGUGCGCCCCGACACAGAUCCAUCUGCACGUGUCCGCUCACCAGGAUCAUCCGCGAGAUGUCCUUGCAGUCCUCCACGUUGGCCGCGCGGAUUGAGUAAUCCAUAUUCGGGGUUGUGACUGUGUGUGGGGGUGCGCGCUGGAUGCGGGGACGGUGGUGCUCGCGGUGCGGCGGGUUCCUCUGGUGGGAUCCGGACGGGUGAGACGUUCGGCGAUGACGCGGAGGUGACGCGGCUGUGGCGCUUUGACUCAACCCCACCGAGCGGCCGGCGGAGAGAGCUCCCCGUGUGGACUGAAAGCUGCAUUAAAGGACGAACAACCAAUUACACUGGGCCGGAACAAUCCUCCAGGAGGCCCCCGGGGCGGUGGCCCCUUCAUGUUGUUAAAGGACGUUGAAAACACACAAAGUUAGGUUCAUCGGUUACUCCAAAAUCCAAAAGUUUCACAUUUCAGAUGUUGGAUUAUGUCAAGAGUACAUGUGUGGCCGCGAGUAUAGGUUGUGUGAAUGUAUACAACAAAAACCAGAACAGAGGGCGUUUCGCGCCUUCAGCCAAGAGCAAUUCAUUUAACCCUAACGCCAGGAAAUGGCAUAAGAGAUACAAAGCAAGUCUGCAAACAUGGGGUAUUUCCAGCAGUAGAGCAAAAACCAUCAACAUCAACAUGAUUUAAGGAUAAAAGUGACAUAUAGUUGCUUUGAGUAAUGAAUCCUUUACUAAGGAGGCCUUAUAAUCAAUACGUUUUUAGGUUGCUGUUAAAAAAGUAUUUUAAAAAAUGUUAUCAAGUUUAGUGAGAAUUAAUUCUAAUUCUGGGGAAGCUGUUUCUGAUCUUGGCGCUGCUGUCUGGUCAAAGUUCCCCUUGGACUUGUUGACCACCAGGGCUUCCGCUUUGCAUUUAACAUUUUCUUAAUUGUACACAACAAGCAGCACAUCCAUGCUCCCAAAAUGUGUAACCUUUGUCCAUCUGAAGCUUUCCUCUAGUGCCACCGCAGGCUGAAACUUUAACUUUCAAACAAAGGACGUUUAUAAUUUACCUGGCAAAUUGAAUAAACAUUCAUACCAGGAGGAAUAAAUAGAUAUAUUAAGGUAACCCUAAUGUGCUUUUAUUCUGGAUGAUCUUAACAGUUUCAAAGGAGCAACAUUAUUCAUAUUUAGUUAGCUCCAUCUCCUCCAUCUAACUCUUCCAUUGUACAUGCUGUAAUAAACACUGCGGCCUCUAGGGGUCGCCAGCAGGUUUUAGACUUAUGCUUUUGUUAUGUCCUCCCUUCUACUCAUAAUGAAAUUGACAGUGUGUGUCUCUUUCUGAGUUAUUGGGUGAGGGCCGGGUUCAUCCCAUAAUCGUUCUUCUUCUUCUUCUUUUUUCUUCUCUUAUGAAGCUCAAAGCAGCUGAAUCUCACAGAAGCUGCAGAGGUUAUAUUUAGUUCAAGCCGCCUGUGAUGACGCACGGUGUGGACAUGUCCUCAAACUGUGAUCUUCGGCAGAGAAAAAUAAGAAUGAUCUCAUGCUUAGGUAGCGGCAAGUCCCCACAACCACAGCGCUGCGUUUGAGGAACUGAGAGUGCCUUAAGAGGGAGAAGCGCCGCAGAAAUGAAUGAAGUGAUGACAACAUUAUUCAUCCUGUGAGGUCUGGGAUGACACGUCUUCCCUCGUGGAUCCCUGUCAAAUGAAUUCCCCCGAUCCAGUGACUGAAUCAUGGCAUUUUGUCGAGAGGUGUUGCAAUCAAAAGUCCAUCAUUCUCCAACAGGCAGGUUAGUGAUGAGCAGCAGCAACACCCCCACCCCCACCCACAGCUCUCAGGGUGAAGGCAAUACCAUGCAAGCUCCACUGAGGAUCAUACUGCCCACAAUCACUAUGAAUCUGUGUUGUUUGUUUCCCACUACAAGACUCGUGGAGAAGUUCAAAACACGAGUGCGAUCGGCAUGUGACGACGUUACGAUAGAGUGGUGUUCAUGCAGCGUCGGUCUUAUGACAGUCAGGUCAUUUAUGAUCAGACAGAAUGUGAUCUGAAGUAAAUGUAACAUGUGAUUUUAAAAAUAAA